UUAAAUCCCUUGUAGUCCCAUGCCGUAAACAAUGUCUAAAAGCCGUUGGGCCUUUGAGGCUUUUAGGGGCGCAAGCUAACGCGAUAAAGUUAGCCCGGCUUGGGAAGUACGGUCGCAAGACCUAAAACUCAAAAUGAAUUGACGGGGGCCGCACAAGCGGUGGAGCAUGUGGUUUAAUUCGAUGCAACGCGAAAGACCCUUACCUGGUCUUGACAUAGUAAGAACUUUCCAGAGAUGGAUUGGUGCCUUCGGGAACUUACAUACAGGUGCUGCAUGGCUGUCGUCAGCUCGUGUCGUGAGAUGUUGGGUUAAGUCCCGCAACGAGCGCAACCCUUUUCCUUAUUUGCCAGCGGGUUAAGCCGGGAACUUUAAGGAUACUGCCAGUGACAAACUGGAGGAAGGCGGGGACGACGUCAAGUCAUCAUGGCCCUUACGACCAGGGCUACACACGUGCUACAAUGGUCGGUACAAAGGGUUGCUACCUAGCGAUAGGAUGCUAA
rnacentral:rRNA from 1 species